AAGAACUAUUAGCUCUUGGAGAAAUACUCUUUUUUUUUUUUUUGUGUGUAAAAUUAGGUUAGAAUAAGGUUGCCAAACACAUGCUUCUUCUUAAUUAGCUUAGCCAAUGACAUAAGAUUAUGUCUAGAGACAUAAGAUUAUGUCUAGAGACAUAAGAUUAUGCUCUGGCCGAAGCAGUACUAUUGCGGUACCUAGAGAGUAAAUAUUGGUAACUGAAUUUGCCCUUUUCUUUGAUGCCGGGGAAGCCUAAAGCUGCAGACCCUAUGUAGUUAGGACAAAUUAAGCAGGAGUCCUUGUUUAAAACCAUAACCCGACAUAAUGUUAUUAUUUGUCCCCCUCUCCAAAAUUACAAAAACCUCAAUUAGAACGUGCCCUAGGGCCUCGCCCGGCCACCCCUAGGCCCUGGCUCUAGCUAUUUUGAAGUAGCUGAGGUAUUUGCUUAGAUGGAAACCCUGAGCUGGCCUUAUUUUCUACCAAAAUUAAUACUAAUUGAAACUAAAAACAAGUGGAGCAUGCGGUUUGUGAUCAAAUGCAGACCGUCCAUUCGUCCAAAUCUCUGUGGGCUAGCUUCUAAUUCCUUUCUUUUCUUCAGAAAACCAACUUAGACACCAAAUAAUGCCAGUGCUUACUGAAUAAACCUGUGUAUAAUUCCAAUUUCUUAGGAUGUUACCAAAGACGCGUCACUGAAUAAAUAUUAUGCAUCGUGGACUUUUAUAAAAUGUCGUUAUAAGAUGCUUGUGAUUCUGUGAGUAGUUUUUUUGUAAGUCCCUUAACAUUGGUUGGAAACAAGUCCUUGAAAAAAAAAUAAAAAGGGCCUUUGUUAUACAUGUAAUAAAACCCUAGCCCUGAAUGAACGCUACAAGUAC
rnacentral:lncRNA from 1 species